GACCAGCAUUGUGAUUGAUGAAACAUCAUCAAGCGGCCUAUUCAACCAUUUCCUGGGAGCAUCCACAGUGCCGAUCCUUUGUGUGGAUGAGGCAUACUCUCUCCUGCAAAGACUAAAGUAUCAAGGGAAAUCAACAUCACAGACAAGCCUCUUAAUGGAACGCCUGUGUAAAUGUUAUGAAGGAGACUUUUGGUAUGCACUAAAAGGGAAAAAGGCAAGCAAGUUGGUGUAACUUCAACUAAACUAAGCCUUCUUGCUUUCACCACCCCUCAGCAAUUCCUGGAGUCAGUUUGGCCAAAAAUUGU